rnacentral:rRNA from 1 species
CCUACGGGAGGCUGCAGUCGAGAAUCAUUCACAAUGGGGGAAACCCUGAUGGUGCGACGCCGCGUGGGGGAAUGAAGGUCUUCGGAUUGUAAACCCCUGUCAUGUGGGAGCAAAUUAAAAAGAUAGUACCACAAGAGGAAGAGACGGCUAACUCUGUGCCAGCAGCCGCGGUAAUACAGAGGUCUCAAGCGUUGUUCGGAAUCACUGGGCGUAAAGCGUGCGUAGGCUGUUUCGUAAGUCGUGUGAGAAAGGCGCGGGCUCAACCCGCGGACGGCACAUGAUACUGCGAGACUAGAGUAAGGGAGGGGGAACCGGAAUGCUCGGUGUAGCAGUGAAAUGCGUAGAUAUCGAGAGGAACACUCGUGGCGAAGGCGGGUUCCUGGACAUUAACUGACGCUGAGGCACGAAGGCCAGGGGAGCGAAAGGGAUUAGAUACCCUGGUAGUC